UGCAAGUCGAACGGGCACUUCGGUGCUAGUGGCAGACGGGUGAGUAACGCGUGAGUAACGUGCCUCUUUUCUGGGGAUACCGUUUCGAAAGGAACGUUAAUACCGAAUGUGGUGUAAGGGUGGCAUCAUCCUUACAUUAAACUGUUAGGGAGAAGAGAUCGGCUCGCGUACUAUCAGCUAGAUGGUGGGGUAACGGCCUACCAUGGCUACGACGGUUAACUGGUCUGAGAGGAUGAUCAGUCACACUGGAACUGAGACACGGUCCAGACUCCUACGGGAGGCAGCAGUGAGGAAUCUUGCACAAUGGGCGAAAGCCUGAUGCAGCGACGCCGCGUGGGUGAAGAAGGUCUUCGGAUCGUAAAACCCUUUUCUGCGUGACGAGAAAGGACGGUAGCGCAGGAAUAAGUCUCGGCUAACUACGUGCCAGCAGCCGCGGUAAAACGUAGGAGGCGAGUGUUAUCCGGAGUUACUGGGCGUAAAGCGCGUGUAGGCGGUUAGGCAAGUGAAUGGUGAAAGCCCCUGGCUAAACUAGGGGAGUGCCGUUGAGACUGCUUAGCUAGAGUGAGGUAGAGGGACAUGGAAUUCCGGGUGUAGCGGUGAAAUGUGCAGAGAUCCGGAGGAACACCAGAGGUGAAAACGGUGUCCUGGGCCUUAACUGACGCUGAGACGCGAAGGCGUGGGGAGCAAACGGGAUUAGAGACCCCGGUAGUCCACGCGGUAAACGAUGCCG
rnacentral:rRNA from 1 species